CGAACGCCUUGCCAAGAGGUAAACUUGGUAGUUAUCCUUUUCCUUUCAAUUAUUCAAUUAUAGUUUCCUUAGUUAAUCAGGUUCAUGCUAUCUUGAAAAGAAAAUAAAAAUGUUAAAAAAAUAGUAAGCCCCAUGUGAGUAUGCUCAUGGCAUAAAACCCAUAAGUACAUUCACUGUGGUGGCAUAAAAAUAAAAUAAAUAAGUUUUCAUCUUAUAAUAAAAAUAUAAAAAUAAUAAGUGCAUGAUCCUGCUAAAUAAGUAACAUUUAUUGAGGAGGCUCAACAUGAUAAAGGCUAGAUAUUUAUGCUAACACUUAACCAGUUCCACAAAGCUUUGUUGUCUAUUUGAGCUCCACAUAAUUCAAGGAUCAAAGAAGACUAGCAGACGGAGGACAUCCUAAUUGCUGUCAGGGUGCUGCCGACUUUCAAAUACACCUCCAUCACCUGCUAGCUACAUCAGAAGAAAUUACGUCAAAAUCCAGCUUGGGGGAGAGCACCCCUAUUUAUCCAGCUAAGUAUUUCUACUCGCGUUUAUACUUUACUCAAAUGAUAAAAGAUGCAUAAUCAUGAAAACCCAAAUAAAAAUUUUGUGCUUUUAUAUAUAUAUAUAUAUAUAUCUUUGCUUAGUUUGCUAAAUAAAUAAAUAAAUAAAGUUUGCUAUGAACACUCAUGAUAAACUCUCACAUGGAAAUGAUGAAUAGUUGCUCUGCCAUGACUAGUUCUUAAAAUUGAAAUCUCUCUCAAGUUUAGGCAUGACUGUUAUGAAGUAAGAUUUGCUCUAAACCUGAACUUGUGGGAAGAGUACUUGAUCUAAAGUCUAAGUUGUUAACGGAUAUGAUAUGGGAAGGUUGAGCUGUUGUUUAUCUGUUCCUAGAGAUGCUAGAAUUCUGGAGAAUUUUAUCUUUGAAAAAUCUUUAAAAUAACAUAUGAUGAGCUCCUAUAUGAUGAGAGUUUAAAUUCCUACCACAGCCAUAUAUACAUGCUUGCUAGACUUUGAGCCACAUAUUUACUUUUUACUGCUUAUGAGCAUUGAGUGUGGUCAAGCUGUGUAGACCCUUAGGAGCUUGUCAAGUGGUUAAAAUCAAGAUUCACUUGCACGUUCACUCAUACAUGCUACUUCUACUCCGGAAGUACCAUCCACAUAUAUCCACUCAUUUCCAUCUCCACAUUCACCCGAAAUUAUUCUACUCCUAAUCCGGGAGAGAAUAGCCAAAAACAUUUUCCAAUCCCUGUUAUUCCCUGUGAAAUAAAUGUUCCAGUUAUUUUGGUUACUACCACUUGCUACAUUAUUUCAGGAGAUGAGUGCUCUAAAAAAAGAAAGAAAAAAAAGAGAGAAGAAAAAAAUACGAGGAAAUAAAAAGGGGCAAGUGCCCGGAACCUCAAAGAAAAAGAAAAAAGUGAGACGAGAGGUAAAAAUGGACAAGUGUCCGACAGUAGAAUUAGGGGUACAAGAUACCCACCUGAGAGGAAGGAAAAAGAAAAUAUAGAGCAUCUCAUUAUCCUCAAAAAGCUUCAGAGUGCAAGAAAGGUAUGUAUCCCCUCAAAAGAGCAAAAGUAGAAUUAGACUUUCACCACUAUUAUCACCAUCAUCACCAUACGCUAUUCAUUCGCCACACAUGCACAUCUUGAUUUGACUUAUUGACUUGUUUCUCUGGAUCCAUGGUUUGACUAUGCAAUAAAUGUCUUGUAAGUAUGUAUUAGUUGUCUCCCACCUAUGAGCUCCAGAUAUCAAACCUUAUUAGAGUAGGGUGAGAGAGAAGGCAAUAUCACUAUGCCUCAUACCACAAAUACUACAUACUUUGAGAGAAGGCAUGUACCAUUACUGCCAUGGUAAGGAUCUAGAAAUACCACAAAAGAGAGAUCUGAGAGAGUCAUAUAAGGAAUCUCUGAGUUUUAUUUGAAAAAAUCUACAAAAAAACCCAAAGCUAUAGCUGACCAAGAAUAAGAGACAUGGCGCUUGACUUGACCAUUCUAUCUUUUAACUGCUCAAGACACAAGUGACGGUUACAAGCCCCAUGGUGAAAGGUAAAAUGAGUAAGUUUUAAGUCUUAACAGUUUAUUCUAACUCAGAGAUGAGAUCUUG
rnacentral:lncRNA from 1 species